rnacentral:rRNA from 1 species
AGCAGCCGCGGUAAUUCCAGCUCCAAUAGCGUAUAUUAAAGUUGUUGCAGUUAAAAAGCUCGUAGUUGAAUUUCGGGGUCAGUAGGUUGGUCGUGCCAAUGGUAUGUACUGGCUUUACUGAUUCCUCCUUCUUGAAGAACUGUAAUGCCAUUAAUUUGGUGUUGCAGGGAAUCAGGACUGUUACUUUGAAAAAAUUAGAGUGUUUAAAGCAGGCUUACGCUUGAAUACAUUAGCAUGGAAUAAUGAAAUAGGACGUUGAUCUUAUUUUGUUGGUUUCUAGGAUUGACGUAAUGAUUAAUAGGGAUAGUUGGGGGCAUUAGUAUUCAAUUGUCAGAGGUGAAAUUCUUGGAUUUAUUGAAGACUAACUACUGCGAAAGCAUUUGCCAAGGAUGUUUUCAUUAAUCAAGAACGAAAGUUAGGGGAUCGAAGACGAUCAGAUACCGUCGUAGUCUUAACCAUAAACUAUGCCGACUAGGGAUCGGAUGAUGUUAAUUUUUAAUGACUCAUUCGGCGCCUUACG